rnacentral:lncRNA from 1 species
CAACGCUCCGUGUUUUUUCUGAUUUUAUUUCUUUUUCUUUUUUAUUUUAAAUUUCAUUUUCUUUUAAAAAUUAAUUGAAAAUUCAUUUUAUAUCAAAAAAUACCAAAAUAAUUUCUAAAAAUCUCUUUUAUUUCUCUUCAUCUGAUUUUUAUUUUUCAACAUUUUAUUUUAUUGAUUUUCUAUUUUUCUUGAAUUUUCUCUUUUCUCCUUU